rnacentral:rRNA from 1 species
UACGAAGGGGGCUAGCGUUGCUCGGAAUCACUGGGCGUAAAGCGCACGUAGGCGGACUCUUAAGUCGGUGGUGAAAUCCUGGAGCUCAACUCCAGAACUGCCUUUGAUACUGGCGAUCUUGAGUCCGGGAGAGGUGAGUGGAACUGCGAGUGUAGAGGUGAAAUUCGUAGAUAUUCGGCGGAACACCAGUGGCGAAGGCGACUCACUGGCCCGAUACUGACGCUGAGGAGCGAAAGCGUGGGGAGCGAACAGG